GACGAACGCUGGCGGCGUGCCUAAUACAUGCAAGUAGGACGCAGUUGCGAACGGGUGAGUAACGCGUAGGUAACUACCUAUUAGAGGGGGAUAACUAUUGGAAACGAUAGCUAAUACCGCAUACUAGUAGAUGGACCUGCGUUGUAUUAGUUAGUAGGUAGGGUAAUGGCCUACCUAGGCAACGAUACAUAGCCGACCUUGAGGGGUGGUGGGCCACACUGGGACUGAGGCAAGGCCCAGGCUCCUACGGGAGGCAGGAGGAGGGGAACAUCGGCCAUGGGGGGAAACCUGACCGAGGAACGGCGGGGGAGUGGAGGAGGUUUUCGGAUCGGAAAGCUCUGUUGAUAAGGAAGCGGUACUUACCCAGAAAGGGACGGCUAACUACGUGCCAGCAGCCGCGGUAAUAC
rnacentral:rRNA from 1 species